rnacentral:rRNA from 1 species
UUCUGGUUGAUCCUGCCAGAGGCGACCGCUAUUGGAGUUCGAUUAAGCCAUGCGAGUCGAGAGUCUUAGGGACUCGGCAUACUGCUCAGUAACACGUGGAUAACCUGCCCUGUGCUGGAGGAUAACCUCGGGAAACUGAGAAUAAUACUCCAUAGACCACUAUGCCUGGAAUGGUUUGUGGUUCAAAGCUCCGGCGGCACAGGAUGGGUCUGCGGCGUAUCAGGUUGUAGGGGGUGUAAAGGACCCUCUAGCCAUUGACGCGUACGGGUUGUGGGAGCAAUCGCCCGGAGAUGGAUUCUGAGACACGAAUCCAGACCCUACGGGGUGCAGCAGGCGCGGAAACUUCACACUGCGGGAAACCGUGAUGAGGGAACUCCAAGUGUUUGCACUAUGUGCAAUCUUUUCUUGACUUUUAAUAGGUCUUGGUAAUAAGGGGUGGGAAAGACCCGGUGCCAGCCGCCGCGGUAAUACCGGCACCCCAAGUGGUCGUCGCUUUUAUUGGGCCUAAAACGUCCGUAGCCUGUUUGGCAAACCCGUGGGUAAAUCAACAUGCUCAACAUGUUGACUUCUGCGGAGA